AAUUGGAGAAGCACACUCUGAAAAACUACUAGCAACACCAAGCCAUGCACAGCAAUGCUGGGGACGUCCUUCUGGCCCAAACAUAGUGUUUCUGAAGACAGCUGUGAGGUGCUGGUGGUAGAAAUACAGUUUUCUCAGACUUCCAUGCUUCGAUAAUUGAGACUCCAACUCAUCAACGCAUCUGGACCAAUUAUAAGCAGCAUUUCCUUCUGAUAGUAGCCCUUCCUUUCCAGUGGAGACAGUAGCUUUCUCCAAAUGUCUUAUGUUUAUAGAAGACCUAGCGGAUGUGACAAUCAUCAAUAUUGAUAA
rnacentral:misc_RNA from 1 species